ensembl:lncRNA
GUCGAAAGUAAAAACCAUUGGAUCAAAGGUCAAAAGUACGGCCUUUGGAUUUGAAUAAAAACAAAUACAAACCAGCUUCCUUGGUGCCACACUUUCCGCCGUCAAGACACUAAAUAAAUAGUUAUAUCUUGUCGUUUGGCAGUGGCCUCAACAGAUAAACGUCCCUACUCUUGUGUACGGUAUUCAUGUCAUACAUAUUCAGGGUAUUCAGCUUGCAUAUUCAACAGAAUAAGCAAAAAUAAAAAGUAACACGAUUUUUUUUUGUACUCAUCAUUGUUCAUUUUACUGAUUGAUUUCUGCAACAUACAUACAAACACGUUGGCUGUGUGUGUGUGUGUGUGUGUGUGUGUGUGUGUGUGUGUGUGUGUGUGUGUGUGUGUGUGUGUGUGUGUGUGUGUGUGUAAAAAGAAUGAGGAGAAGCCGGGGCUGAUGGAGAGUCCCGCAGGAGGCUAUGAGAAGCAGCAGCGAAUCAGAUCACUCACACUCAUGCCAAUCAUAAACAUGAUUGGAGGAAUAAGGGAGGGAGGGCGGGCUCUCUCUCUUAAAGGCACAGGCGGACCGUUUCCUAAGGACAAGAGUAGUGAAGAGAGGGCAAGAGGAAGCAGGAGAGGGCAACAUAUCGAUGCACAGAAACCAACGGGGGGCUAAUAACCACAACGGUUAGAUAAAUAAAGCAGAACAACGGCUUUGAUUGAAGACAGAUUAAUAUUGAACCACAGAGCCCUAGGGCUGGUGUCCGGUUCUAACUCCCAGAUGCAGGAACCGGUUCUCCAGAGUUGGUGUGUCUCCACUCUGGUAACCCGAGGUGACCGACCGAUAAAACAACAAAACAAAAAGCGGAAUGACGACCGAAGUGGAAGAGGAGAGUGAGUCUCCGCAGGGUGACGGCGAUAAUGAGGGGUAAUGCACGCCUAGGGGUCGGGGAGAAGUGGGGAAGAGUGGCGGGGGGGUGAGGGGUAAUGCACGCCUAGGGGUCGGGGAGGAGUGGGGUGGCGGGGGGGUGCACAGUGUGACAACCAACAACAUACAAAAAUAACCUUUAAAAUACCAUUUACAAAAAAAGAAAAGACAACUAUUAUUAUUAUUACAAUCUUAUUCAGAGCAGUAUGCGUUGGUAGGGCCGGCGGCUAGCUGGGGGCUUCGCACGCCGGCCAAUCAUAAAGAGGGACUCGCCGAUCUGUUCUGCAUAUCAUUCAAACACAUAAGGGGGGGAACGAUAAAAGACAAAAUAACCCUGAAAUAUUUGCCAGGAGCAAAACAACCAAAGGAAAGAGGAGCACAUUUACAGUUUUAACGGGAGGGAAAAGUAUCAUCAUCAUCAUCAUCUUCGUCAUCAUGCACGGAUAUCUUACAUCUUCUGUUAAUAAGAAUAUUCAAGAGAUAUCAAAAGAGAACAAAAUCUGAAAUAUUAUAUACCUAAGUAGUCCUGUACAUUUUAUUUCAAUAUAUAAAACAAUGCAUAUAUAUAUAUAAAUAUGUAUAUAUAUAAAUGUAUAUAUACACACACACAUAUAUAUAUAGUUAUUUAGCUGUAGAGUGACAAGCAAACAAAACUCAGUAAAACCAGAGGGGGGGUCCAUAUAAUCACCGUUAUGUUGAAUACGGCCAGAAGCAGCUGAAACGAGGCUGACAGAAGAGAUCAGAUCAUACCUCACUCAGUCCAUCCUAACGGAGUGAGGAACAUCUGGAGCCAUGCUCUGAGAGGUUGUCAUGGGGACACAUGGGGGUCCUGAAACCCACCCCUCUCUCCCUCCCUCCUCUCUC